UAAAUAUUUUAAGAACUCAGUUUGCAAGAAAAACCGUUGCCGAUGGAACUUUGAAGCUCUAAUUCACAUGACAUCCAAAGUCCAGGACAGAACGACCAGGAGGAUAGAGGUUUUUUAAUGAAAAUAGGGGACGAGACGUGCAGGACGCUCAGAUACGCUCAGAUACGCCCUGUCCAUUACAAUGCAGUGCCGCUCAGGAUUCUUGAAAAAUUGAGCGGCGCUACAAUUGCGCUCGCCACCUUGAGACGUCAUCAUCAUCAUCAUUUUAGCCGGAACACGUCCAUUGUUGGACAAAGGCCUCCCCCAAAGAUCGCCAUGACGGCCGGUCAUCCAACUUAUUCCGGCGAUCUUGACUAGAUUACAACACUAC